ensembl:lncRNA
GUCAUACACCGGGACUGACCAAUUGCCCCGAUAGGCAGGUGUUUUCGCUCUGUUGGAAGUGGUUAACAAUUUAGCUGAAGGCAGAGAGUCAGAAAGGGGAAGGAAGUGUGAAUUUUGACCCAAGGCCACAGGCUCUCCACAGUGGAAGAGGACGGGAAGGAGCUGGAGCAGGGAACCAGCAGCGCCCCCUCUCCACAGCCCUGUCUGCGGCUCCGCUCCUCUGGGUCAGGAACAGGCUGCGUGCUGGCUUCAGGCGGCGUGGCGGAGGCGGCUGGUGUCGGAUGAACCCGGAUUCGGGACGACCGAAGAAAGGUGCACCUUUGCCUCCUCCGAGCCGAGAGCUGAGAGCCACGGAGGCACAGAUUCAAUCCCUGGUCGGGGAACUAAGAUCCCAUAUGCUGUGCAAUGAGGCGAAAAAAAGAAAAAAGAAUAAUGAUGAAAAAUCCACCGACACGCAGAUUCACCUUGUAUGACUUAAAUAAAUUCAUUUGAAAAGGAAAUUUUACAUCCCUUAAUAGAAGAUGACCGUGAAAAUAACCUAGAAAAGCAAACUGGCUUCAUUAAAUUUUCACCAGGUCCAGCCCAAGGGUCCAAGCCUGGGGUCUGUUCUGUCUGUACUAAAGACACACGGAAAAAUUCCAGGGACAAAUAGAGUGAGGUAGACUUUCUCCUGGUCAAAUGCAAAGAAAACAUGUGGGAAAAGAAUGAAUAAGAGGUCAUCUCACUGUUGAAUGCCGCAUCCUGCAUGGCCUAACAUCCUCUUGUGGGAGGCGCCAUCGGAAGUGCCAUCACUGCGCCCGGCCCUGGUCGUGGAGACCACUCAUGGCGUGUGCUGAGUUCUAAUCAUGGAGGCAAAACGCUGCCUCUGACCUGCUGUGAGCCGGCCUCGACAAGUGUUUUGAAAUCGCCUAAUGACAAGUUGAUGGCUUGUGCAGGGAAUUAUUACCGUUAAUAAAAUACUAAUCACAGUAAUGGGGGUGAAUUUGGGCUGAUGAGACCUUAGUGCCUGAAGGCCGCCAAGGAUCUUUGAAAAGCAUCGUUAAAAUAAUAAUUAAAAUUGCAGCAAGAGUGAGUCAAGGUCAUGAAAGCAACUGAGGCCCCGUGGAGGAGGCCGCAGAGAAAGUCUUGGGAUCCCACCUGCCCUGCUCCAGGCAGAGGCCUGCAGGAGGCUCUUGAAGAUGAGAUAAACAGAGUUGGAAAUUUGUUGGAGGUGCUGAGGCCCCUAGUGAGAUGAUGACUUUUAAAGAUUAAUUAACUGUGGCGCUCGGUCUUCGUUGCUGUGCUUGGACUCUCUCUAGUUAUGGGGAGCAGGGGCUGCUCUUGAUGCCACGUCUGGGCUUUGCAUUUCAGGGGCUUCCCUUGUUGCGGAGAAUAGGCUCUAGGGCGCCCCGUUCCCUUGUUCUGGAGAACAGGCUCUCUACAAUUUCCGUAGUUGUGGCACGUGGUCUACAGUGCGGGCUCAGUAGCCGUGGUGCACAGACUUCAUUGCUCCGUGGCACGUAGGAUCUUCCUGGACCAGGGACUGAACUCACUGCCCACGGCACUGGCAGGCAGAUCCCUAACCGCCGGGCCACCGGGGAAGUCCCAGGAUGAUGACUUGAUGCGGGGCCUCUCGUCGGGGGCUCAUCUGAGUAAUGCGGAUAACGACACCUAUGUGCAGGAGGAGGGGCUGGACCAUAAGAGCCCUGGCGGUCCUUGUCCCCUGCUGCCAGCUCUUCUCAGCUGGGAGACGGAUCCUGGCACCCUGGUCAUUUCGCUGGCCGGGUGCUCUCCAUCUGGGAGAAAACACUUAACUCAGGGGUUGCGAACUUGCUCCCUGGGGGCCAGAUCUAGCCCUGAGAUGUGUUUUUUUUCUCACCGGUAAAGUUAAAAUUUAGAAAACAACCUUUGGGAUUUAUUACAUAUUAUGAAGUAACAAUAGCAGGCAGAAUCAUACACGGCACUUACCUUUAUAGCUCAUGAACUGUCACACAGCAGACAGCUGCAAGCGCUGGCUAGGCUGAGAGCAAAAGCCCUGCAGGCGCCCUGGACGCCCCUGGGUCCCCUCCAAUCGCUUGGCACCAUUUUAAAAAAUUCUUUAAAUGACUGUGUGAUACUGUUUUUUUCUGACACCAAACUGUGUGCUUUUCUGCCAUACCCAUUAUACAAUUCUUCAACACCAG